rnacentral:tRNA from 1 species
GGGGAGAUGCCAGAGUGGUUUAAUGGGGCCGCCUGCUAAGCGGUUGUAGGAUUUAUAGUUCUACCCAGGGUUCGAAUCCCUGUCUCCCCG